CCCGGGUUCACGCCAUUCUCCUGCCUCCGGCUUCCAAGUAGCUGGGAAUACAGGCGCCCGCCACCACGCCCGGCUAAUAUUUUUGUAUUUUUAGUAUAGACAGGGUUUCACCGUGUUAGCCAGGAUGGUCUUGAUCUCCUGACCUCGUGAUCCGCCCGCCUCGGCCUCCGAAAGCGCUGGGAUUACAGGCGUGAGCCACCGCGCCCGGCCAUUGCUUUCUUGCAGCAACUGGGGAUUGUUGAUUCGGGACCCCUAGUCGGAGGGUGAUUUACACGUCAGUUGCAGCGCGUUGGUCAAUGUUCCAGGCUGUCAGCUCGGCACCGCCCUCAGGGCUCAAGCUACACAGGGCAUUGAAAGGAGAGGAAAGCAUCUUCUGGCUCAAUUAGCAUGCUAAAGAAUGGGUUUGGUUUCGUGCUCCAUUAAAGUCAACUAAAUAGAUGCGCUGCAUGUCUUUAUUUCAAAAAUAAAGCUGAACAAUUAAAUCCCGUGUCUCUUUGCUCAGUUUUUGAUCCCACACAAAGCUUUCCCACUUGCUGCCUUUGGAUGUAAUGUUAACAAAGUCAGUUAACAUCAAGCACUGCAGUAACAGGCAUGGCAGAAUUCCUUGUUUUUGCUCAAUCAGUCUGUGUUCAAACUAUCAGUUUGAUUUAUUUGUCCACAUUGACCCUUAUUCACCACUUAAUUAUCCUCGUAUAAUGUUUCAAGAGGCUCCUGACACAAGGAGAAAGACAAUCGCCGAUGUUCUGUAAAACAACGGUUGACCUGAUGGGCCCAGAUGAAGACCGUGGGUCGGAGUUUGUUUGCUUUUGGAAGAACCCACUUCUCCUGUCCGAGAGCUGCAUCCAGAGCCACUCGCUGUGGGUGCCACAGGCUGGCCGGUCAAGCUGUUCGUCAGGUUCUCAAACUGUGAGCUGACCAUCACCACGGGAUAGUCAUGGCGUUUUGCUCUAUUGGCCUCUCCAAAUCCCCCGGUAUGUUGGGUGUAUUAGAGUUCAGAAAAAAACAAAACCCAUGCACCCACUAACACACAAACACACACACACACACACACACACACACACUGAACCUCAAUUUCAGCAAUGUCUUUAUUAGUAUAUGGUUACUGCUGUGAUUAGAAAUACAUUUUCUCACUUUGUGUAUGAACAGGAAAGGUUUUCGAAUCACAGGUAUGAAAUGAGAAAUAAUAUUUAAACAUUGAACUGCUUCAUAUUGUAGUUGAUCUCUAAGCUCCUGCUCAUAAACCAGAUGAAUUAUAAUUUUAUUGGAAAAUAAACCAAUGUCUUUUAUACCUAGCCAGAAAUACUAUUUAUUGUAAUAGGUUUCAUGUGAAAUUAAGACAAUUAUUUUAGAACUGUUGAAAUCUGACAACUAUUCUAUAUUCAUAGCCCUUAACAUUCAAAUAUAAAUUACUGAUAGUUAAAAACAGAUAAUAAACAUCAACAUUUCUAGAAAAACAGCCCAUAUAAAUAUAAAAUCAUAAUUUUAUAUUUUGAAGUGAUUUUCUAUAAAAAUUUUAAAUCUUUUAUGGCAAGUUGAGCCCAUAUUUCAUUUGGCUACACCUUAGUAUGCAUAAAUGGUUUUUGCAACACCCUACUAACCUUGGUUUGUCAUUUUAAUUUUUUACACAUUUUCCUCUCCUGUUUAGUACAUUUUCCAUCUUAUUAAAUUUUACUCUGCACAGUUACCAAUGCAAAUGACAGCCUAAUUGUUUUUCAUACAUUAAAAAUGUUCAUCAAUGUCGUUUGAACCUAAAAUUAGAAAAUCAUACUCUAACAUAGCCUCCAUGUGUUGGUGACGUUUAUUCUUUUGUGUCUUAGCCUUUCUCUGUGAUGGACAUAUGAUCACAAAUGUUGCUGCACAGAAACAAUAACACAAGAAUUAGAUAAAUGACAGAUGACAAUUUCAAAAUGAAAAAUAUCAAAUAUUUCUAAAAGCUACUUGGUAGGAUUUUUUUUACUGCUGUAACUGUAACCAAAACUCUGAGAAGCAUUUUUGGAAGCCCCAGUUACCAGUAUGAAAGCCACCAGAAUAGAGUCUUGUACAUGCCACAACCCCGAACUCUCAUUCCGUCAUCCUGGGGAGGUCUGAGAUCCCAGCAGAGAUGGUCUGGUGGCCAGUGACCUUCUAUUUGAUUUGGUGCAGAGGGACUGAGCAUCUGGAGGCCAACCACGUGGCCUGGGCGUCCCACUCAAACUUGCUAGCUGCAAUUUCCUCAUCAUCGAGGACUUUCUAUCUUCUGAGGUUGGAUACAGAGUCCCCAGGAGUCCCGGUAGUGUUCAAGAUGACACAAGUCUGAGAGGACAUGAGCUGAGCCAGGCACACCAGUGACCUGCAGGCCUGCACACCCAGCUUUGACCAGGGUGGAUCCACUUUUUUCAGUUCUUUUCCAUAUCAGAUUUUUUUUUCCAGAAUGAAGUGUCCUGUGGCCUUUAAAGAGUUUUGUUUUGUUUUGUUUUGUUUUGUUUUAAGACCUGAAUAUAGAGGCCUUCCAGCUCUGGGAUUAUGUAACUCUAGGAAUAAAAUCAUAGUUCUUACAGCUGAAAGAAUACAAUAAGACAAAGUAGAAUAGGCAAAAAACCUGAGGUGGAAAAUCUGGCCUCCGUGUUGUCCCUUAAACAGGCUCACCGUCCUUCCAAUGGGUUCAAUUAUUUGCUACUGAAGAAAUCAUUCCGUAUGUUCCCCUGUCUGCAAACACACGGGCCUGAGAUCCCCUAAGUAAGAACACCAGUGGCAAGAUGAAGACACAAUCAGGGACUUGUUCCAACAUGGACUCCUGCUCUAAGAAAGCCCACAAAGCUGCUCUCUCUGUUCUGGCCUUGCUGUCUAAUACCAAGGAAUUUUCAUGACAUGUUCCAAUAGAAAUGACCAAAAUAAAAAUCUCUCUGAGAAAAAUGCCGCCCUCUUCUAAAAAUUAUUGUUGUUGUUGCUUUAUCUCAUUUUUCUGCUCAAUGUUUCUUUCUACCUGAAAACAAAUUUUUUAAUCUGAAAAAAUAAUUUGCUUUCAACUCUUUUUGCUACCUCCACCUGUUUCCUCCCAAAUCAGGUCUGUGUCAAAAG
rnacentral:lncRNA from 10 species